GAUGAACGCUGGCGGCGUGCCUAAUACAUGCAAGUCGAGCGAACAGACGAGGAGCUUGCUCCUCUGACGUUAGCGGCGGACGGGUGAGUAACACGUGGAUAACCUACCUAUAAGACUGGGAUAACUUCGGGAAACCGGAGCUAAUACCGGAUAAUAUAUUGAACCGCAUGGUUCAAUAGUGAAAGACGGUUUUGCUGUCACUUAUAGAUGGAUCCGCGCCGCAUUAGCUAGUUGGUAAGGUAACGGCUUACCAAGGCAACGAUGCGUAGCCGACCUGAGAGGGUGAUCGGCCACACUGGAACUGGGACACGGUCCAGACGCCUACGGGAGGCAGCAGUAGGGAAUCUUCCGCAAUGGGGGAAAGCUUGACGGAGCAACGCCGCGUGAGUGAUGAAGGUCCUCGGAUCGUAAAACUCUGUUAUUAGGGAAGAACAAAUGUGUAAGUAACUAUGCACGUCUUGACGGUACCUAAUCAGAAAGCCACGGCUAACUACGUG
rnacentral:rRNA from 1 species